GACAGAGGGGGCAAGCGUUGCUCGGAAUUACUGGGCGUAAAGGGCGCGUAGGCGGGAUGGCAAGUCGGUCGUGAAAGCCUCCGGCCCAACCGGAGAACGGCGAUCGAAACUGCUGUUCUUGAGGGUAGCAGAGGAGACUGGAAUUCCCGGUGUAGCGGUGAAAUGUGUAGAGAUCGGGAGGAACACCGGUGGCGAAGGCGGGUUUCUGGGCUACCCCUGACGCUGAGGCGCGAAAGCGUGGGGAGCAAACGGG
rnacentral:rRNA from 1 species